UACGUAGGCAGCGAGCGUUGUUCGGAAUUACUGGGCGUAAAGAGUGUGUAGGCGGUGCUCCCAGUCUGUUGUGAAAUCUCCCGGCUUAACUGGGAGGGUGCAGCGGAAACUAGAGUGCUAGAGGGUGGGAGAGGUAAGCGGAAUUCCUGGUGUAGCGGUGAAAUGCGUAGAUAUCAGGAGGAACACCUGUGGUGUAGACAGCUUACUGGACCACUUCUGACGCUGAUGCGCGAAAGCGUGGGGAGCAAACGGG
rnacentral:rRNA from 1 species